AUGCGGAAGAGAUAAGUGCUGAAAGCAUCUAAGCACGAAACUUGCCCCGAGAUGAGUUCUCCCUGAGACCUUGAGUCUCCUGAAGGAACGUUGAAGACGACGACGUUGAUAGGUCGGGUGUGUAAGCGCAGCGAUGCGUUGAGCUAACCGAUACUAAUGAACCGUGAGGCUUAACCUUACAACGCCGAAGGUGUUU
rnacentral:rRNA from 1 species